UACUUAGUGGCAGACGGGUGAGUAACAUGUAGGUAUCUGCCCUUUGGCCUGGAAUAACACGAGGAAACUUGUGCUAAUACCGGAUAAGUCUUUACGGAGAAAGCUUUAUGCACCAUUGGAUGAGCCUGCACUUGAUUAGUUUGUUGGUGGGGUAAUGGCCUACCAAGACUGUGAUCAAUAGCUGAUUUGAGAGGAUGAUCAGCCACAUUGGGACUGAGACACGGCCCAAACUCCUACGGGAGGCAGCAGUGGGGAAUCUUGCACAAUGGAGGAAACUCUGAUGCAGCGAUGCCGCGUGAGUGAAGAAGGCCCUUGGGUUGUAAAGCUCUUUCGUCGGGGAAGAAAAUGACUGUACCCGAAUAAGAAGGUCCGGCUAACUUCGUGCCAGCAGCCGCGGUAAUGCGAAGGGACCUAGCGUAGUUCGGAAUUACUGGGCUUAAAGAGUUCGUAGGUGGUUGAAAAAGUUAGUGGUGAAAUCCCAGAGCUUAACUCUGGAACUGCCAUUAAAACUUUUCAGCUAGAGUAUGAUAGAGGAAAGCAGAAUUUCUAGUGUAGAGGUGAAAUUCGUAGAUAUUAGAAAGAAUACCAAUUGCGAAGGCAGCUUUCUGGAUCAUUACUGACACUGAGGAACGAAAGCAUGGGUAGCGAAGAGGAUUAGAUACCCUCGUAGUCCAUGCCGUAAACGAUGUGUGUUAGACGUUGGAAAUUUAUUUUCAGUGUCGCAGGGAAACCGAUAAACACACCGCCUGGGGAGUACGACCGCAAGGUUAAAACUCAAAUGAAUUGACGGGGACCCGCACAAGUAGUGGAGCAUGUGGUUUAAUUCGAAGAUACGCGCAGAACCUUACCAACACUUGACAUGUUCGUCGCGACUCUAAGAGAUUAGAGUUUUCGGUUCGGCCGGACGAAACACAGGUGCUGCAUGGCUGUCGUCAGCUCGUGUCGUGAGAUGUUGGGUUAAGUCCCGCAACGAGCGCAACCCUCACUUUUAGUUGCCAUCAUUAAGUUGGGCACUCUGAAAGAACUGCCAGUGAUAAGCUGGAGGAAGGUGGGGAUGACGUCAAGUCCUCAUGGCCCUUACGUGUUGGGCUACACACGUGCUACAAUGGUAUCUACAACAGGAAGCAAGACUGCGAAGUUAAGCAAAUCCCUAAAAGAUACCUCAGUUCGGAUUGCACUCUGCAACUCGAGUGCAUGAAGCUGGAAUUACUAGUAAUCGUGGAUCAGCGUGCCACGGUGAAUGCGUUCCCGGGUCUUGUACACACCGCCCGUCACACCAUGGGAGUUGGUUCUACCUUAAGGCAAGGUUCAAACCC
rnacentral:rRNA from 1 species